UUUGGCCUACGGGAGGCAGCAGUGGGGAAUAUUGGGCAAUGGGGGAAACCCUGACCCAGCGACGCCGCGUGAGGGAAGAAGGUUUUCGGAUUGUAAACCUCUGUCCUUGGUGACGAUAAUGACGGUAGCCAAGGAGGAAGCCACGGCUAACUACGUGCCAGCAGCCGCGGUAAUACGUAGGUGGCGAGCGUUGUCCGGAAUUACUGGGUGUAAAGGGCGUGCAGCCGGAGAGACAAGUCAGAUGUGAAAUCCACAGGCUCAACCCGUGAACUGCAUUUGAAACUGUUUCCCUUGAGUGUCGGAGG
rnacentral:rRNA from 1 species